UAUGGAUAGUAAACUUGAGGAAGAAAACGAGAAAGGACGUGUUGGAAGUUUGGUUUGUCCGUCCUUUCUCGUUUUCUUCCUCAAGUUUGCUUUAUUUGAU
rnacentral:pre_miRNA from 1 species